UACAGAGGUCUCAAGCGUUGUUCGGAUUCAUUGGGCGUAAAGGGUGCGUAGGUGGCGCCGUAAGUCAGGUGUGAAAUUUCGGAGCUUAACUCCGAAACUGCAUUUGAUACUGCGGUGCUUGAGGACUGGAGAGGGGACUGGAAUUUACGGUGUAGCAGUGAAAUGCGUAGAGAUCGUAAGGAAGACCAGUGGCGAAGGCGGGUCUCUGGACAGUUCCUGACACUGAGGCACGAAGGCCAGGGAGCAAACGGG
rnacentral:rRNA from 1 species